rnacentral:rRNA from 1 species
CAGCAGCAGCCGCGGGAAUACGAAGGGUGCAAGCGUUACUCGGAAUUACUGGGCGUAAAGGGUGUGUAGGUGGUUGUUUAAGUCUGUCGUGAAAGCCCUGGGCUCAACCUGGGAAUUACAGUGGAUACUGGGUCACUAGAGUGUGGUAGAGGAUAGUGGAAUUUCCGGUGUAGCAGUGAAAUGCGUAGAGAUCGGAAGGAACAUCUGUGGCGAAGGCGACUAUCUGGGCCAACACUGACACUGAGGCACGAAAGCGUGGGGAGCAAACAGGAUUAGAUACCCCCGUAGUCCCUGUCUCUUAUAC